CUAAAAGAGACCGAAGCAAAAACAUGUCCCUGAAGACUGAGGCUGUGCCUUUUCCCGUCCACAGGCUUGGCAGUGAGAAACUGGAAUAUCAUCCACGAGAAUUUCAUGCAAGUUUUAUAUAUUUAUAAUUUAUGAAAUUAUAAAUAUUCACUGCCCUUGAAGCGACAAGCAUGGCACAUUCAAUAGGUUCAAUCUGACAUAUUUCUCUAGAGAACAUCUUCUACAUUCUAAAAGCCUGGUUAAGGGCUGAGGAGAUGGACAGCUCAAUAGAAGAGACUAGAGCUCCAGAGAACAAAAAUACAAAUGUGUUAUCUGGACCAGCCUGCAGCUCCAAGAUGAAAACAUCACUGCCAAGUCUCAGACUGCCAACCUUCACGGCAUCAUCACUGCAAAUGUUCCCAGUCCCACCUCACACUGGGGCCAAGUCAUGAGUACAAAAAUGUUUGCAAUAUUAAUAGUCUUUGGUAUUUCCAGCGUGAUGCUUGAGUUCUAGAAAGGGAUCCCCUGAAUGUUCCUAAACUGAGCAACUGUGAGGCCUGUCUUUAUACUAAAUACCAGCGAGCUCUUCAGGAAGAGCGUCUUCUCCCAAACCUCUGUUGUCUAAUCAGGGCAACAUGUUUGAUUAUAGGGCACAGAAUAUUUGCGUAGUGUUACCUAGAGGUAGCAAUCCUUCGUGGAGACAAAGGAAUCAUAAAUCCCAAAUGAAAGUUCAGAAAACUUAGCAGUAUGUGCCUCUUCACUGAGCCAGUUUGAGAAUACUGGUGGAUGUGGGCCUCUCUGAAAGAGAUUCAGUAAGACAAACCCAAAUGUAGACACAGGUCCCUCAAGAAAGAGUCUCAACUAAUUGUCCUAGCAUUAGCUAUGUAUAUUAUAUUGAUGGGUUUCGUAGGUGCCUUUUCCCUAUAAAUUUAGUUUUUGGUAAGGUUCCCAGAAAAUGGAAUGUUUAUAGCUGAGAUGGGAGAAAGCUCUCAAGCAGUUGUUAAUUGUGCCAGAGUUCAUGCUUCUCUGAUAGCAAGAGGGAGAGGUAGGAAAGGGCCCCUUUCCUUCUCCUUUCUCGGUAACUGUCCCUGUCUCCCUAGUUGGCCUCAGACUGGAAUUACUGUUUUCCAUGUGUUAAUUUCCUUGAAUUCUCUCUGCUCUUUUUGUUUUCCGUUUGUCACCCCACAUAAUAUUAUUCUAUUACUAUUGCAUUUUAAAAUCAGCUAGAUGCCUGAUUUUUAAUAAUAAUUUUAAUUAUCAUUGAUAAUUACAGUCCAUUGCAAAAUGAGUCCAAAACUCAAGACAUUCCUGUAAUUUAUAGUAACUCGCUCUGAUCACGAGCCAAGAAACAAUUUUAAAAUACAUUUUUCUUGUUUAA